AUAUGCUGUUUGGGCAGGUUGCCUGUGGAAUCUACAAUCAACAGAACAGUUAUGUUUAAAAUUGACAAAAUCUUGUGAAAUUUGUGCGCAGUGUGGACGCAGGAGUGCUGUGCGAUACAACAGAAGGACUGAUUGGAAGAGUACAGGGAGCUUGGUGCAGCUUGGGGACCUUCGGAAUCUCCAUGGCUUUCUACCGAGUGAAACUGGUUUAUGAGCAGUGUGGAUACAGAGCCCCAUUUAAUGAAGGUCUCAAUGUCUAAAGAUCAUACAUGGGGACGGUAGGACAUUCUGAAAAGGAUCUCGAGGGUUUGUCUCUACUGAAAUGGCUGAAAGGAUACAAGGACACAAUUGUGACGAAGGGAUUUGUGUUCAGAAUUAGCUGAGGAUGCUAAGGCGUUGAGAGGGGUUGGAGGAGAAAUAUUAUCCGGAGAAUCAUCCUCAGAGUUUGCAGACACAGAGGAAGGGGCA